rnacentral:rRNA from 1 species
UACGUAGGGGGCAAGCGUUGUCCGGAUUCAUUGGGCGUAAAGAGCGUGUAGGCGGCCCGGUAAGUCCGCUGUGAAAGUCGGGGGCUCAACCCUCGAAUGCCGGUGGAUACUGUCGGGCUAGAGUGCGGAAGAGGCGAGUGGAAUUCCUGGUGUAGCGGUGAAAUGCGCAGAUAUCAGGAGGAACACCGAUUGCGAAGGCAGCUCGCUGGGACGUCACUGACGCUGAGACGCGAAAGCGUGGGGAGCAAACAGG